rnacentral:ncRNA from 1 species
ACGACACUCCGGAGAAUCCCGACGACUCAUUCGAUCGGGUGCCGAAGGUGCAACCGCGCGACAAAGCGCGUCAAUCUCUCAGGCAAAAGGACGGAGCAA